AAUUAGCCCCGAUAGAAGUGGAUAUCCUUUUUACAAAAACUGAGCGCGCCGAAAAGGCGCGCUCAUUUUUUGUAAAAAGAUUGGAACGGAUAGCGGGAACUUUU
rnacentral:sRNA from 1 species